AGAGUUUGAUCCUGGCUCAGGAUGAACGCUGACAGAAUGCUUAACACAUGCAAGUCUACUUGAAUUCUCUUCGGAGAUAGUAAGGUGGCGGACGGGUGAGUAACACGUAAAGAACUUGCCCUGCAGUCUGGGACAACUAUUGGAAACGAUAGCUAAUACCGGAUAUUAUGCGAGAGCCGCAUGGCUCUUUCAUGAAAGCUAUAUGCGCUGCAGGAGAGCUUUGCGUCCCAUUAGUUAGUUGGUGAGGUAACGGCUCACCAAGACCGCGAUGGGUAGCCGGCCUGAGAGGGUGAACGGCCACAAGGGGACUGAGACACGGCCCUUACUCCUACGGGAGGCAGCAGUGGGGAAUAUUGGACAAUGGACCAAAAGUCUGAUCCAGCAAUUCUGUGUGCACGAUGACGGUCUUAGGAUUGUAAAGUGCUUUCAAUCGGGAAAAAGAAAGUGAUGGUACCGAUAGAAGAAGCGACGGCUAAAUACGUGCCAGCAGCCGCGGUAAUACGUAUGUCGCAAGCGUUAUCCGGAUUUAUUGGGCGUAAAGCGCGUCUAGGCGGUCUGGUAAGUCUGAUGUGGAAAUGCGGGGCUCAACUCCGUAUUGCGUUGGAAACUGCCAGACUAGAGUACUGGAGAGGUGGGCGGAACUACAAGUGUAGAGGUGAAAUUCGUAGAUAUUUGUAGGAAUGCCGAUAGAGAAGUCAGCUCACUGGACAGAUACUGACGCUGAAGCGCGAAAGCAUGGGGAGCAAACAGGAUUAGAUACCCUGGUAGUCCAUGCCGUAAACGAUGAUUACUAAGCGUCGGGG
rnacentral:rRNA from 1 species